UGGCGGGAGGAGAGGCGGCCUGGCUGACCCUGGCCGGGGUCACUGCGAAGCAGGGACCAAGGCGAGCGUCUGGGCUUCUGCUCCUCUGCACCUGUGACCCAGGCCCCAAAGGGCAAGGCUCAGAUCCUGGGUGAGAUCCAAAGAGGACUGAGGGAGAAGGGAGUCCAGGCUGUUGAAGCGGGGAGGGCGUGUUGGGUCACAUUCUGGAUUAGAUGGUGAACUGUGAGCACAAGAGGAGUUUCCUCUUUGGGGGAAGAGCAAGUCUUUAUUAUAUUUGUGAUUAGAAAAGUUACAUGUGUUACAUGGCAGUGGGCCCUCAGUGAGUAGUUGUUGAAUGACUGAGUGAACGUAAAGGUCCCACAUCAUCCUACCCUGCUGGGACUAUACUCUCAAGGGUUCAUUUUUUUUUCUCCAGAUUUUUCUGUUGGUCAAACACUGACAAAAAAAAAAAAAAAAAAAAAGGAACACAGAAUGCAUAUCACACCACAACUGGCCCUGUUGUCUUCUCACGAGAAGACACUGUGUAUCUUGGAUAUGUGAGAAUGGCGAGUUUUCCAUGCAUGAGGGGAAGCCUUUCAUUUGUAACAAAGUCUUCCAGAAACAGACACAAACAACUGAAGGAACAGAGAAGAAUGUAAAAGUCCUUUGAUUCCCUUAUCAAGGGGAGCCUGGGAAACCAGGCAGGAGGUGGGUGCAGCGAGUUUCAAGGUCCUUUGGUUGAUUGCCAUCUGCCCGCUGGACCACGCAGCCGGCCGCCCCACUCACACAGCAGCUGGUAGGUGAAGCCACAAGGGCCUCUUCCCUGGGCCGUGCCUGACAUCACCCAGCAGAACUUCCAGCAGCUUCCCCUCUCCAUCUGGGCCACCCAAGUUCUAAAAUGAGGAUGAUGGACCCCAUCACUUCAUGGAGUUGUUGUGAGGUUAACCGAGAUGAUUAUGUAAAAUGCUGAGAACUCAGCAGCUGCCAUCGCUGACUACAGCCACAAGAGCACGGUUUCACCCACAGGUGUCCCAUGGAACAUUAUUUUAAGAGGUGCUAGUUGGGGGUAAGGGCAGCAAGAAAGGACGCGUAUUUGGGAACGCCACCUUCUUGGAGAUGCGCAGGGCAUGUUCACGGAGGAGCGUCUGCAGAGACCAGUUUAUGCUGCUCAAAACUUGUGACUCUAUGAAGUCCAAAGAGAAAAAUGGCAGGUCUAAGCCUUGCUGGCUAAAACUGGUUUUUCUCAGCCUUUCUGGAAUUGCUGGCCUGACAGUUUAACUUUACCACUACAUUUAGUGACAGUGACGUAUGGCUAGAUUCAUAGACAUGGCAUCAGUGACUGAAAUUGCUUGGAGUGGGAAGGGACAGUGCACAGCUAGGUUGCCCCCCACCCCCACUGCCACCAGGAGAGAGACGAGGGCCCCUGUUGUGGUCCCAGCCUGGAAGAACAAGACUGCUCCACACGUCACCUGUCCUCAGGUGAGCUCAACAGUCAGAAAAAUCACUUCCUAAGCCAACUAAGUCUGGAGAAGGGAAUAUUCGGCCACAUGCCUGCGAAGCCAUCUCAACAGAUGCCCCAUCACGGCAGGAUUCAUCACGACAUUUUAAGAAUCACGCAACUAAGGUGAGAAGAAGAAAAAAAAAAUCCCAGGAACCUUUUUCGGAGCUGGGUAGCUGGAUGCCGAGGUCCUUCAGCAGCUGCUCCGUCUCCUCCAGCCAGGACAGUGAGUGGCUCAAGAUGUCCACGGUCACCUUCUGGAGCCCCAGGACAGGUGGAUUCAUCUGAAGGUGCUGGAGAAGGUCCACCUCCCUUUUCAGGUCGCCGCUGCAGCAAGACAUUUUCAAGCAAGCCUGAAAACAGACGAGAAGGUGCGGAGCUCAGACCCUGUGGCAGGGAACAGCACCUGGACCUUGCCCCAAGGGAGCCAGGGUGCACUGGCCAUCCGGAGUGGCCCCAGUUUUAUUCAAUGUCAUUUCUUUUCUCUUUUUUUUUGCAAAUUAUAUUUUUUGCACCCUUUUGAGAGUCUAGGGAACACCCUUUUAGGUACGUGUGAUUCCAAAGCCAAAUUGCCUUAGACAAUUUGGCUGAAAAUAGAACCCAAUUUGGCUUCUCCUAUUUAUCACGGUUCCUGCAGACAUCAACACACAAGCUGGUCAGAAAGUGUGGCUUCCUGGUUUUUGAAGGAGUGCUGACAAGCAAGCAUUCGCACCAACUCCACAAAUAGCAGCUCGGUGGGGCCCCGGUGGCCUGGGCCUCUGUUCCCGGCUCCUCUGGGAUCACAGGUGACCAGAGGAAGUAGCCAAACAAGGUCCACUUUUUCUGCUGCAAGUUCACGUUGUCCUCGGUGACCUGAGUGAUCUUCUCUAUCAGCUGGUGAGAAAAAGAAAGAUGUUGAAUGCAGAGUGGCAUCAGGAGAGGGGACCAGAGGAUGGCAGCUGGAGACCGGGGCUCAGGAGCAGAGGUCAUUCCUAGGAGCCAAAGGCCUGCACCGUAGCUGCGAGUGUCCCAGAUCCUUCUGCAUUUGUAGCAGUGACUCGGAACACGGAGCCUGAGGCUGUGGGAAUCAGCGGGUCGGGCUCUCCUGGGCCCCACAGGCGCAGCCCACGGUGUGUUUUCUUACCUGUGCAGUGACCCAGAGGACAGGAAGGGGUCCCGGAAGACUAGCAGGGCAGCCCACCCCAGGACCCUCUCUUCUGGGAGGAAGAAGCCAGGGCUCAUGGACUAAGGGGAGACCGCCCCUCUGUGUGUGUGUGGCCGGUGGCUGGACGUGUCCUGCGUGGCUGAACUUGAUUCUCAUAAGAGCAUUUCAAAGGAGUUUAACUGGCUUUUACUUAAAAAGCCAUGAAAUCCCAUAAAAUCAAAACAAAUCUUUAUGGUGUAGCGACAGUGUGAAAAAUAUGUGCCACCAACAAAAACAGAAACAUAUGCUCCCAGGGCCUGGCGUCCCGAUCCCCGAAGAGGAGCGAAGGAGCCCGUGGCGACGGGCCACACUGACCUGCUGGUCGGUGAUGGUCUUGUCCUGGCUUGGCUUCGCCCGCCCGUAGGUGGCCUUGAUGAUCUGGCUUCUGAACUGCUCCAGCUGCGGCACAAAGGGGGCAACAGGUCAGUGGGGCCUUAGGGGUGGAGUCGGGGCGGGGAUGCACUUCUGUCCCGGGGUCCAGGGACACAGUCACUUGGACGGGCCCACAUGCCUAGGGGGUCGUUCCGUGGUUUGGGACUCUUCGCUGCGCACCAGAAGCGGCUGUCUGUACCCACAGAAGGAAGGAGAACAGCAGGUUUUAAUUACUUUCUGGGCCUGCCUGCCCGACCCAAGCCAGGCACGUGGUCUGCGUGCACAUGUGUCUCAAGCCCUAAAAGCGCCACUUGCUGCCAAUUUAUCCAAUGGGAAGUCUGGGGCCGGGAGCGCUCUUCUGUAAUUGCUAAGCUGGCACCAGACUGUGAAAUAAAUAUUGAGACUGUCAG